AAGUCGUACACUUAACCGACUGAGCCCCCCAGGCACCCCUACCUACAAUGAUUUCUAACACCUAGAAAAUAAAAGCUCUGUGUUUAUUUUGCUUGUCUCACGCUCACUCACUGGCUUGACUCACUCUUGGGGACAAACCCCAUGAUGUUCUAUAAACCAGUCCCAACAAGUUGGAGGCCCUGCUAAUGCAGACUUCACUAAAAACACACAUGAAUGCGUCUGAAUCAUCUCUCCUCUUGCCCUAAAUGUCAAAAAAGCCGGCCUGGACCCCGCGGUUCGUUGUUUUUCUGUGUCGAGGAUGCCUGACAACAGAUGGGGAAGCAGUUUACCAGAAGGCCAGCACUCAGCCUCAUGGAGAGGGAGUCCAAAAGGCAAGGGCUGAAUAUUGAUUACAAGGAAGACCUCAGAGUGAGCUGAAGAUAGCAGAGCUGCUGGCAGUAUGGGCUCCUGAAUCGACACACAGUGGAGCCAACCACCUGCCCGUGCCGUCUCCGCACCCUGAGCCGGGAUGUGAGAAAUAAACUUCGACUGGGACGUCGUGGCA